rnacentral:rRNA from 1 species
UGAGGAAUAUUGGUCAAUGGACGCAAGUCUGAACCAGCCAAGUAGCGUGCAGGAUGACGGCCCUAUGGGUUGUAAACUGCUUUUAUAUGGGGAUAAAGUGGGGAACGUGUUCCCUUUUGCAGGUACCAUAUGAAUAAGGACCGGCUAAUUCCGUGCCAGCAGCCGCGGUAAUACGGAAGGUUCGGGCGUUAUCCGGAUUUAUUGGGUUUAAAGGGAGCGUAGGCCGUUUGGUAAGCGUGUUGUGAAAUGUAGGAGCUCAACUUCUAGAUUGCAGCGCGAACUGUCAGACUUGAGUGCGCACAACGUAGGCGGAAUUCAUGGUGUAGCGGUGAAAUGCUUAGAUAUCAUGAAGAACUCCGAUUGCGAAGGCAGCUUACGGGAGCGCAACUGACGCUGAAGCUCGAAGGUGCGGGUAUCGAACAGGAUUAGAUACCCUGGUAGUCCGCGCAGUAAACGAUGGAUGCCCGCUGUUAGCACCUAGUGUUAGCGGCUAAGCGAAAGCAUUAAGCAUCCCACCUGGGGAGUACGCCGGCAACGGUG